GAAUCAAGUUGACCAGUAUUGCACUAAAGAAUUGGGUAAUUACCCUAGUGUCCCAUUUCGCCAUAUUGUUCCCUCGCUACUAUGAGAGAAGAGCACUGGAUUGAAUUCUUUCCUCAUUAGUUGACAGAGGAGAGCACACCAGGAAGUUCAUCUGUAUCUGAUCCGCCAAGUAGAAACUACUACGAGGGGAAAUAUGAGUUCAAAGAGCAUAAGUUUCCGUCUUGUUCUCUUUUUGAAUCCCCUGUUAGUUAGUUGGGGAUAACCUCUUUGCUAAGGGAGUGAGGGC
rnacentral:lncRNA from 1 species